UAUGUAUGCGAGCACAGUGUCUCUUGUAUUCAGACACACCAGAAGAGGGCAUCAGAUCCCAUUAUAGAUGGUUGUGAGCCACCAUGUGGUUGCUGGGAUUUGAACUCAGGACCUCUGGAAGAGCAGUCAGUGCUCUUAACCACUGAGCCAUCUCUCCAGCCCGAAAAGCUUUUUUUAAAAACAUAUUUUGGACAUGCUAAUAUUUUUAAGUUUACUAACAAUUUUAAAUUGUUUUUUCCUGUUUCAGAGAUGUUUUGUCAGUUGAACAUUAAGUGUAGCCUUGUUUUUGCCUAUUUCAGAAUAUGAGCUUCUGGAUGUUUUUGUGUAUAUUUUUCAUGCCUCUUGUUCAGAUUAAUAGAGGAACAAGAAUAAUUUGAAUAUCUGAAAUCUAAUUUAUGUUUCAAUCUUUGCCUUCAUUUCCACUACUAGGAACAAAUAGGGAAAUAGAUUAAAAAUAAGUUGAAUUUUAUUUCCAGUCUGGAAUUGGGGCUCUAAAUUAGAGCAUGAGAGGUUCUCAGAGGAGGCAAAAAGGAUCGAGGAGAGCCUAGGAGCUAUAACUAAGCAGCUAGCUUAUAAGGGUCUCAUAGUUUCUACCUUAAACAUCUUACAGUUUUACAAAGUGCAUGGUCAUUUAUGAAAUAAUUCUGUAGAGAAUUAAAUAUUUAUUCCCUCUAGUAUUUGCAGUGGUAAGAAAAUAAAACUUGUCAAAGUUUAAAACAUAUUGUACAUGCGUACACACAUUUUUUAGUUCAAAAAAAACCAAAAAAACAAAAAACAA
rnacentral:lncRNA from 1 species